UCCACAAAAUAUUAGUGAUCCUACAGUGAAGAAAGAGGUGAUUGACUGUUUCAGCCUCUUCUCCACACAGGAAACACCUAGGGCUCAGUUGGAUACCCCUUUUCAUGAGGUUCUCCUGAGUCAAAACAGCCUGCUUUGCUAGUAGCCAAGUGAAGCAGGACACUUUAGGAGGUAUUUUAACUUUCCAGAUAAGUUUCCAUGGCCAGCCAGUAACCUGAUGGAUGAAAGAGUUGAGCUUUUUGUAAGCUUCCUUCACACUAAAAUUUCCGUUGCAGUUAUGAUUCCAAAACAAUCCAUCUUGGGAGGUAGAGGUUCCUUUGAAUUGUUCAAGGAUUCCAAAGAAAUCUACUAGUCUUUGGAUCUCCCAAUCAUUUAGGGGCCUUCUAAAACUCAAAUUCCAUCCCUGAUUUGACCAAACUUCUGCCACAGUGUCUUUUUGUUGUUGGUUCAGAAUGUAGAUAUCUGGGAAGAGGGUUUUUAGAGAGCCUUGUUCUAACCAGCUGUCCUCCCAGAAGGAGACCUUCAUGCCAUUUCCUAUUCUAAUGCUGCAAUUUUCUCUUAAUUUUGGCCAAAAGUUUCUGAUGGCCCUCCAGAUGCUAGUUCCAUAAGUACUAGUGACCAUUUUGGUAGACCAGUGAUCCUCCAUUUCAUACUUCUGCUUGAUAAGUUCUUUCCAUAGUGCUUGUUCACUGGAUGCUAGUCUCCAUAGCCAUUUCAUCAUAAGGCUUUGGUUCUGAAUCUUCAAAUUCCUUACCCCAAGACCUCCUUUUUGUUUGCUCCCAAUCAAUUUAUCCCACUUAACCAAGUGGAAUUUCUUAGUGUCACUAUUUCCUUCCCAUAGGAAAUUCCUCCUUAUUGCAUCAAGUCUUUUAAUGACCCCAUCUGGGAUAGAAAAGAUAGACAUCAUGUAGGUAGGCAUGGAGUCGAGAACACUAUUGAUGAGAGUGAGUCUCCCGCCAAGGGAGAGAUAUUGACUCUUCCAGUUCACCAAUCUUUUUUCACACUUCUCGACCACCUCAUUCCAGAUUCCUGAAGACUUGCUUUCUGCUCCUAGUAGUGACCGGAAGAUUAUAGCAAAGUUAUCAAACAAUGAUAUAUAUUUGAAUCAUGGGCCACUGUGAAAUAAAUUAAUUAUUAGAGAGAGAAUUAUCUUCUCUAUGUGUUCUCUAAGAAGAAAACAUUGAGGAUGCUAUCCAGUUGAUAGACUUUUUAGGAUAUCUGUAAUUAGUUUUUUUUUCCAUUUCAUUGUUGAUAUCUUUUUGGAGAUGGCCAGCUUAACCCUUAAUUCUGAGGAAUACAAUUACCAGUUUUCAAAAAAAAAAAUUAUUCCUCUCAUGUAGGUCAUACGUCUGAAUUGCAAUCUGAAGCGGAACAAUUGCCAUCUGUCAAGCCAGAGCUACUUCAGGUUGAAGCUGAAGUAAACAAGUCCGAAGUGGCUGAUGAGGGUCUAGACACUGAGAUAUCCGUCUUGGAUGAGAUUUUGUCUGUUGAAGCAGAAGGAUCAAUAUCAAGAUUGGAUGGGGAUAAAGAUGGUGCACGCCAAGAGAAUGACGUAACAGACACAUUUCUUGCUUAACAGAGUUUUCCAUUUCCUUCAUUUGAUAAGUUAAAGAGGAGUUCUCCAAUUUUUUGAAUACUGCAUCAAGUAUAGUGCUCUUUUUUAUGCUUUUGCUCUACACAUCUGAUGCAGGGAUGGGCUGUUACUGGUGGCAGUGAAGUAAUUGUAGAACGAUUUCAUGAUCUCAUCCCUGAUAUGGCUCUUACUUUCCCAUUUGAACUCGACCCCUUUCAAAAAGAGGUAUAAAUCUAUGGUUUAUGUAGUGUUUUUCAAUGCUGAUAUGGAACUUGGCAUAUCUCUGCCUUAUUUAAUCUCGUGUCCCUUAAAAUUGAUGGGUAAAUACAUGCUUUCAAUCUAUGUUGCUCGGACUCGUCAAAAAUGUCGACUGGUGCGUGUCGGAUCUUCCAAAAAUAGUGUAUUUUUGAAAGAUCCGACGUGCGGCAACAUUUUUGGAGAGUCCGAGCAACUUAGCUUUCAAUCAUGAGGCCCAUGUUUUAGUCAGAUGAUGUUUCAUUGGCAUGAAUGGCAAAGUGUUAAUUUUGAACAUAAUAGGUUGAGUUCUGUUUGCUUUUUUAUUAACUUGAAAAGAUUUGUUGUGUUUCUUUUUCUUUUUCAUUUCAGGCAUAUAUAUGCCUAUCAAGCUGUUAAAAAAAUUGUGGUCCUUCUCAUUGUGUUAAUUGCAGGCCAUCUAUCAUCUUGAAAAAGGGAACUCUGUCUUUGUUGCUGCUCAUACAUCUGCUGGGAAGACUGUUGUGGCAGAAUAUGCAUUUGCUUUGGCAGCUAAAGUAUGAAUUCACUUUAUAUCAUGGAUUUUAUACUAUUCGACUCUUUUUUUGGUUAUAAAAAAUAUAUCAAGAAUUUUAUACUGAUAUCUAAGGUAUAAUCUUCUUCUUUGCUUAUAAAUAAAAUGUCUUCUGUUUUACAUAUCCUAUUUAUAAGUUCCUUUACAACUUUUUGGGUCAAUCCUGUCCAAAUUUUCUUGUCUUUAUUUGUCAAUAGGUUUGCACCAAAUUUAUGUUUUUUUAUUGUGUGCUGCAGCACUGUACCAGGGCUGUAUAUACAGCUCCAAUCAAAACAAUCAGCAAUCAGAAAUACAGGGAUUUUUGUGGGAAAUUUGAUGUUGGCCUUCUCACAGGUGAUAUAAGCAUAAGACCUGAGGCCUCUUGUCUUAUAAUGACCACUGAGAUAUUAAGGUCAAUGCUUUAUAGAGGGGCUGAUAUGAUUCGGGAUAUAGAAUGGGUAAUUAUUAAAUAUUUUGCUCUGCUCGUUUCACUUCUACAACCUUUCCAGUACUUGAGAUAAUUUGGUUGGUUGCUGGUAUUUUUUUGUUGCGAGUUUAGGUUAUAUUUGAUGAAGUGCAUUAUGUCAAUGAUGUUGAAAGAGGUGUUGUUUGGGAAGAAGUUAUCAUUAUGCUCCCAAGACAUAUCAACUUUGUCCUCCUUUCAGCUACGGUAGGUCUUGAUAUUUUAGUCACUUUAUUUUGUGCUUUGGAUCAGUACUCUUAAUGAAGGUAUGAGAGUUAAAGACACAACAAAAAGAUGUGUGAGGAUGCCUGAGACAAAUGUCUUACACCUGCACUUUCUUAUACACACUUUUCUAUGUAUAACUUCACAUUUGAUAAACGAAGGACACUGAUACGUACAGUAGUACAACUUCUAACUAUUUAGCUUAGCAAAUCUAACAUUCUACCUGAAGUCAGUGCCCACUGAUCGAAUGUCGAUGUAACUAAUUCGAUGAUGGACAUGGUAAAUAUGUUUGGAUGAUCAUUUGACAUUAUGAAUCUAGUGACAAUGUCUCUUGAGAGUAUCUUUUCUGUGAUAGCAGCUUGUAUGUAUUCAAUCCUCUCUUGAAACUCUGGACUUGAUGCACUAUCAGGUGCAGCUUGAUCAUCACACACAAGUUCCAUCUGAGUGGGUUAUUGAACUUAAAUUCCUUCCAUAUUUGCUUGAUCCGUAUGAGUUCUCAAGUUGCCGUUGCGAUGGCUCAAGACUUUGACAUCGGAUCUUGUAAUCACACUUUGAUCUUUGCUCUUCAGGAUACUAAAUUGUCUCCAAUUAGAACACAAUAUCCAAAAGUAAAAUGUCUAUUAGAAGAGAACCCUAUUCGACCAGCAUCAAUAUAUGAGAAAUAAAGGCACACAGAUGAUUUAUGGGAAUGCGUGAGACCAUGGCCUUAUGCCUGCAUCUUUUUAUAUGCACACUUUACAAAGUAUAAUUAUACAUUUGAUCAAUGUGGGGUACUCAUACGUAUAGUGACUGCCCCUUUGAACCAUUGAUGCUUGGCCUAUCUAAGAAAGGUAGCAUUUGACAUUUGCUUGAUCUGAGCUUAAUUACUAUUGUCUAAAAUAGCAUAAUAGGGUCAACAGACAGGCAUAUUAUACUUUAUGUGAAUAACAAUUGUAGGCUGUCAUGGAUUAGAGGCCUCCCUUAGUUACUAUUUUGAAAAACUGUUUUGGUCAUCAAAGUCAUAAUCGUUAUACUCCAACAGGGUUGAUUAGCUAUCAUUUUUAUGGCAUGAGACAUCUUUUUUAUGACAUGACACUCCUUAAUCAGUUUUGGGUAUACAUUAAUUGAUGAUAAUGAGUGCUUGGUUGUUGGUCAGAAGCGGUUGCUUGAUACAUUGCACUGCUGAGAGGAAACAUAGGAAACCAGAUUGAAACUUUUGAAAAUCUGUAACUUGGUAGUAUGCUGAUUUAUUCUUUCACCAAAUCCCGUCGACAAGAAAUCUUUUGGUGCCACAAAGAAGAAAAAGGACAUCUUCAAAUUUGUAAUUGACCAUCAAAUUAUCUCUGUGGACUGUGGCUUGUAAACAAUGGGUAUGUUGGACAAAAGUCUUAAGGUUCAUCUAGUUGAUCCCUCGCUCCUCUUAAAAAAGAACCAAAAAUAGAAGUAGAACUAGUCAGCUAAUGUCAGAUGUUCUUCCAGAAACUCUUUUUUUGAUGUGUCGUUGACAGUAAGAUUUUUGCUGCAUCCAAAGGUGUGGCUUAGUAGUCAAUGAAGUGAGUGGAAAACCAUGAGGUCUUAGGUUUAAAUCUUAGCGGUGACAAAACAAUCUAAGCGAUUUCUUCCCAUUUGCCCAAGCCUUGGUGGGUCCAGUACCUAUUCUAGUUGGGGUAGUAGGUACACGGUGGAAUAGUCGAGGUACACACAACCUAGCCUGGACAGCACCGUCAUAAUUUUUUUUUUUUGCUGUUUUUGAUAUGUUGUCUACAUAUAUAUAUAUGUGUGUGUGUGUGUGUGUAUAUAUAUAUAUAUUACAUCUGGUCCUCUUUUCAUCUUGAGGUGGCUUUCAAUAACAUUUCCCCUGAUCAAUUUAAGCACAAAGGGGACUAUGCUCUCUAGACUUCAGUGUCAAAUUUUGGACCAUUUCGACCAUAAAGACAACUAUGUCGAAGAUCUCUUAAUUUCUAUUGGAGUGGGAACACAAUCCUUCCUAAAAAAGGACUUUGGGAACCUAUUGCAUGAUUGUAGUAGGUUGGCAAUUGUGCCUACUUUUGUUUAUAGAAAAAGUCUUGAAUUACCUCAUUUGGUUGAUUGUUUUACAAUAGUCUAAUGAAAACUAGAAAAAAAGGAAAUGAGAAAAGUGAACAGAAGAAAUCCUAUUAGGGCUUAUGGCAUACAACUUGAAAUAAAUGGAAACCCAAUUUCUUGGAUCGGCAGUUACAAUAGUCUAAUGAAAACUAGAAAAAAGGGAAAUGAGAAAAGUGAACAGAAGAAAUCCUAUUAGGGCUUAUGGCAUACAACUUGAAAUAAAUGGAAACCCAAUUUCUUGGAUCGGCAGUAGGUCCCGAGUCGCCAUUCAUCAUUUACCAUUGUCUGUAGAAUUAUCGCCGAUAGAUAACCAAGAUGGCAAGUAAAGAUGUGUGUGGGCAGGGUUUCUGUAACUUGCCAGUGUGCAAAUUGCUGGCAGUAAAAAGAGAUUUCACCAUUGAAAGUCCCCAAUGUUUUAUGACAUUGCAUGGGUAUUUGAAGGUAAUUAAAAUUGGAAAGAUGCUAACCUACUGCAGUUGCCAUGUAAUAGGUUAGCAAAACCUGUCAAAAGGAGCUCUCAAUGUGGGAAGACAUAAUAUAAGUAGGUGCUUCAGUGGGAAGAAAUGUUAGCCCCACUAUUGGUCUCUAUCUAUGAACUAGAAAAGAAAAUGCUUGAGCUUGUGCUAGGAGGGAAACUAAGAGAUGUUUCAUUUUUUUAUUGCAGGUACCCAACACAAUUGAAUUUGCAGACUGGAUUGGUCGUACAAAACAAAAGCAAAUUCAUGUUACUGGGUUAGUCGUGCUUUCUUUAAAUUAUAAUUAAAAAAAAAUGAAGUUACAUGACUUUGUUUCUUGAAGUUCUCUGGGACCUACUAUGACUCAGGAAACAAGAUAGGAGCUUUUAUCAUUAUAAUAUAUCUAUAGAGUGCUUGCUUGAUCUGGUUUCCUUUUCUUUUAUGGACUUUUCUAUCAGGACGACCAAAAGACCUGUCCCUUUGGAACAUUGUCUCUUCUAUUCUGGGGAGCUUUACAAAGUGUGUGAGAAUGAAGAGUUUCUGCCUCAUGGAUUUAAAGCAGCCAAAGAUGUACAUAAGAAGAAGACCACAAGUUCUGUCUCUGGCGGCGCCAGCUUGCGUCCUGGGUCUUCAACAGCUGCUGAUAAGGGUCGAGGACAGAGGCGUGAUAGCUCUUCUCAGGCGAAGCAGCACAAGCAUUCUGGUCCCCAAAGAUUCGGGAAUUUUGGUGGUGGUUGGGGAGCACAAAGCACUGGGCCUGGACAGAAUGUUAUGGGGUUUAGGAGAUCAGAGGCGUCUUUGUGGUUGACGCUGAUUAAUAAACUCUUGAAGAAAUCACUGUUACCUGUAUGUAAAAAAAUUCUUUUAACAUGCAUGGUUCCUUGUAUAUAUUCCUUCCACCGCGUGCUUACAGUGUAGUUAGCAUUGCUGUUAGUAUUUAAUCUCUUGAUAACUUGUCCGCUGUGUUUUUCUUCUCCUCUUUUAAAUUUUUUAACAGUACCGUUUUUCAUUUACAGGUUGAUAGGAGACUUAUCAUAAAUUAAAGCCUGAUAUUUAUCAUGAAAUUGUAAUUUCAGGUGGUUAUAUUUUGUUUUUCGAAGAAUCGAUGUGACAAAUCAGCUGAUAACAUCCCUGGUACCGAUCUCACAAGUAGUUCUGAGAAAAGUGAAAUUAGGAUUUUCUGUGAUAAAGCAUUUUCGCGGCUUAAGGGAUCUGACAGAAACUUACCGCAGGUGUCCUACCUAAUUUGCUGCAUUUGUUAAUCUUGCGGACCAUCUGCUUCUUGGUGUCCUGCUAAUUGCAGAACAGUGUCUUAUUGAUGGUCAUCUAAACUACAGAUUGUCAGAAUUCAAAGCCUUCUGCACAGGGGCAUUGCUGUGCAUCAUGCAGGGCUCCUCCCAAUUGUCAAGGAAGUUGUAGAAAUGCUUUUUUGUCGAGGUUUGGUUAAGGUAAUAUAACAUACCAGCUUUUUUAAGGGAAAGGGCACAUUGUUCCACAGAAAUGCCCAUAUUGUUAGGACGUUACAACAACAACAACAUACCUAGUGAAAUCCCACUAAGUGGGGUUUGGGGAGGGUAGAGUGUAGGCAGACCUUACCACUACCUUGUGGAGGUAGCACAUCGUUAGGAUGUUACUAUAUUUAAUUACUUAUUUAAUUUCAGAUAUUAUUCUGCAUUAAGCAUGCAAGAGGCAUAUAAUUUUAUGCUAGAGCACUUGUUAGUGUACACAAAGACAUUCUCAUAUACUUCAUUAGAUACUCAGACAUACAGAAUAAAGUUAGAGACUCAAUGAAAAUUAGUGGAAGUUAAUUUAAGAUAUUUGAAAAUUAUGUUACUACUUACUAUUACAUUGCCAAGUAGCUACACGCCUGUGGUGGGAGGUCCGUAACUGGUUUGGAGUACAUUGGGUUAUGUUGAGAAUAGUAAAGGAGGCAAUCUAUAGCUGGGCUUUCAGAAGAUGGAGGAGAAGACCUAAAUGUAGUUCCACUAGCAAGCAAGUGGGUAAUUUGGAGAAAGAGGAAUAGGAGGGUUGAGAACAAUUUUGUACAUGUGAGGAGUAACCUCUGGUCACUAGUUUCUUUUUGUUUUAUCCAUGAGGCCCCUUGUUUGUGUCUUUGUGAUAAUUAUUGGGUGACCUUUGUAGAGACAUAUUUUGGUUAAUGUUUCUCUUCUUUUAGGUAUACUAAUACUACUUAAAAUGCAGUGAUUUCCCUUCUAUAAAUAAAAUUAUUUAACCUUUAAGAAAGAAAAAAAUAAAACAAUUAGCAUUUGGUCAUGUUUGUAUAAACUAGCACUGAUAGUAUAUCCUAGUAGGAAAUUAUACUAAAAUAACUUCUUAAGAUUUGGGAAGAGUCCUAGCUUUGGAUCCAAUUAAGAAAUUUUGGACCCCAUGAUUCUUGUUUUUUGAAGUAUGACUCGUGAUCUAAUGUUAUGUUCUUUUCAAGUAAAAAAUUAACUAAAUAAAUAAAGGGAAAACAGUUAUGAUGAAAUGAAUUAUCAGUUAAGUGGUGAAAUCCUUGAACUAAGUUGCACGUUGGGCUAGUCAUUUUCAUGUUAUCUACUUUUACUACUGCUGCUGAAUUUUCUUUACCUCCUUUAGCCAUUUUGUGACCCAUUUGUUAUCAAAAUUCCUGUCCUUUGGUGAGUUUUACUUUUGAAGGUCUUAGAUGCUCAUUUAAUUCUUGGUUCUUUCUUAGGUUCUGUUCUCGACAGAGACAUUUGCAAUGGGAGUUAAUGCUCCAGCCAGGACGGUAAGUCAUCAUUUGCAGUGAUCUUGUUACUUUGAUUGCAGUUAUUUUCAUAGAACAUACUCACUCCAUCCCAUUUUACGUGGCCAUGUUUUAUUGGGUACGGAGUUUACAAAAGAAAGGAAGACUUGUGAAACUUGUGGUUUGGAACAAAUCAAGGACAUUUAUAUGACUAUAAAUCAUUUUAUUAAGGUAAAAUGGAAAGUGUAAAGUUAAAAUUUUUCUAAACAGAAAAAGAUAUUAUUCUUUUUGGGUAGACUAAAAAGGCAAGUCUGCCACAUAAAUUGGGAUAUUAGGAAUAAAAAGUUUACUCUUUUUAUGAUAAAAGAGUCUUUGUCAUAUGAUUCACACCAUGUCUCGACUCUUGUGUAACUGAGGAUAGUGAUCAUGUUUCCAUUUAAUUGUUGUAGAAUGGUUUUGCUAUUUAUUCAUUGUUAAGAGUUGAAGGCUGAGAAUUUUAAGAACUAGCGCUGGAUCUUUAUUUGUCAGCCUCAGAACAUAUUUAGAAACAAUGAUUAAUUCAGGAAAUAUCCUCUUUCAGGGAAAAACCUAAAGCACAUACAAGAGAGAUUUAACUGAGCUAUAGUAGUAUAUUAGCUCUAUUCAGGGUCUGGACAGAAUGCAGAAACAGUUAAGAAUGAGCUGGGAGUUAAAGAACUUAUAAAGUGGAGAUAAUGGAGGAAAGCAGAGAAUGUAGAGGAAAUCACAUAAAUUUCUGGAAUGCGUUUCAAUCAAGUUUGCCAGUAGCACAAAAUAUGCACAUGUUUAUGAAGAAAAGACCACAUAGGAAAUCAGAUGUUAUUUUUUUUUGAAACUGGUAACAUUUGUAUUUCAUUUAGUACUUAGGUAGUACUGAAAAACCAUAUUUACAAAAGCAGAAAGAAAGUAUAAUCUAUCCAAAAACUGAACCAAAUCUAAAUGGAUCCUAAAACAUCUAUGAUUGACUCAAUUUCAUUGGAGUAGACAUUUGUACACCAAAAGCAGAACAACAAAAUACACUUAAGCUUUACUUCCUGCAAGUUGUUGUUCCUAUUCUCAAAACAUCUCUCGUUUCUCUCCCUCCAUAUAAUCCACCAAAUACUAGCAGGGAUCAUCCUCCAUCUUUCUCUGUUUGUAGCCCCAACUCCAGCCAUCUCCCAACUGAAUAGAGUCUCAUCAAUCUUGCUAGGCAUACACCAAGAUAUGCCUCUGAGAUUAAGGAAAAUCUGCCACAACUGCACAGUAAAGUUGCAAUGUAAGAAGAGAUGUCUCACUGUCUCAUUAGCCUUACCACAUAAGGAAUAUCUGUUACAUAGAGAGAUUCCUCUCUUGGCCACAUUAUCCAAUGUCAAAACUGCUUUAUUGGCUAGUAGCCAUGUAAAGCAUGCCACUUUGUGUGGCACUUUGGUCCUCCAGAUUUGCUUCCAAGGCCAUUUCAAGUCUUGAAUGCCACCAGGACUUAUCUGUUUGUAUCCUUCUUUCACCUUGUAACUACCUUUGUUGUGCCCUUGCCACCAUAAAUAAUCCUCGCCUGUUUGUAUACCUUGAAAAUUCUCCAGAACCUUAAACAAUCCAAGUAUUCUGGGAAUUUCCCAGUCAUUCAGAUUUCUUCUGAGGAUCAGAUCCCAGCCUUGUUGUGUCCACAUUUCAGCGACAGUCUUCUGUUGGUGUUGAACCAAUGUAAAGAUGUCAGGAAAACGAUCUUUGAGGCUCAUACCACCCAACCAUUUAUCAAACCAAAAACUAGUUUUUCUUCCAUUUUGUACCUUGACAGUAGACUGAUUACUGAGAAAAGGCCAAAAUAUUCUGAUGGAUUUCCAAAGGCUAAUCCCAUGGGGGGUAUUUACCUCUUUGGUUACCCAUUUAUUUAGCUCCUCAUACUUGUUGUUGAUCACCCUAUACCAUAGUGCUUGGUCCUCCUGAUGGUACCUCCAUAACCAUUUCACCUUCAGAGCUUUGCUAUGGUUUUUGAGAUUCUUGAUACCUAAUCCACCUUGCAUCUUACUUCUGAUGAUGUUCUUCCACUUGACUAAGUGAAAGCCUUUUCUUUCCUUAUUUCCUUGCCACAAGAAGUUUCUUCUAAUUUUGUCCAAACUCUGAACUACUGAUUGGGGAAUAUGGAAGAUAGAUAGCAUAUAUGUAGGGAGAGCAUCCAGAACAGAGUUUAUCAGAGUUAAUCUACCUCCCAAGGAGAGGUACUGUGAUCUCCAUCUGGCUAGUUUCUUUUCACAUUUCUCCAAUAUUGGGUUCCAAAUGUCUAUGGCUCCAGACUUUGCCCCCAAAGGCAUGCCCAAGUAUACUGAUGGCAGAGUACCUGUCACUCCUCCCAAGGUUUGUGAGAGGUGUUCCAUAUCCGGAACCACAUUAAUUGGAUACAAAUGGCUUUUGUUCCAGUUUAUAUGUAGUCCAGAUAUGGCUUCAAAGUAGACUAGUAUGAGUCUUAAUAUCAGCAACUGCU
rnacentral:lncRNA from 1 species